rnacentral:rRNA from 1 species
GAGUUUGACAUGGCUCAGGAUGAACGCUAGCGGCAGGCUUAAUACAUGCAAGUCGAGGGGCAACAGGGGUAGCAAUACCUGCUGGCGACCGGCAAACGGGUGCGGAACACGUACAGAACCUUCCUUUAAGUGGGGGAUAGCCCAGAGAAAUUUGGAUUAAUACCCCGUAAGAUUAUGGAGUGGCAUCAUUUUAUAAUUAUAGAUUAAUCGCUUAAAGAUGGCUGUGCGGCUGAUUAGGUAGUUGGCGGGGUAACGGCCCACCAAGCCUUCGAUCAGUAACUGGUGUGAGAGCACGACCAGUCACACGGGCACUGAGACACGGGGCCCGACUCCUACGGGAGGCAGCAGUAAGGAAUAUUGGUCAAUGGACGCAAGUCUGAACCAGCCAUGCCGCGUGAAGGAUGAAGGUCCUCUGGAUUGUAAACUUCUUUUAUGUGGAAGAACCCUUGAAUUCUUUUAAGGUUGACGGUACCAUAGGAUAAGCACGGCUAACUCCGUGCCAGCAGCCGCGGU